GAUGAACGCUAGCGGCAGGCCUAAUACAUGCAAGUCGAGGGGUAGAGCUAGCUUGCUAGCUUGAGACCGGCGCACGGGUGCGUAACGCGUAUGCAACCUACCUCAAUCAGGGGGAUAGCCCGGAGAAAUCCGGAUUAACACCGCAUAAAAACACAGGGUAGCAUUACCCAAUGUUCAAAUAUUCCUAGGAUUGGGAUGGGCAUGCGUGCCAUUAGCUAGUUGGCGGGGUAACGGCCCACCAAGGCGACGAUGGCUAGGGGAUCUGAGAGGAUGACCCCCCACACUGGUACUGAGACACGGACCAGACUCCUACGGGAGGCAGCAGUAAGGAAUAUUGGUCAAUGGGGGCAACCCUGAACCAGCCAUGCCGCGUGCAGGAUGACGGCCCUCCGGGUUGUAAACUGCUUUUGUACGGGAAUAAACCUUUCUUCGUGAAGAAAGCUGAAUGAACCGUAAGAAUAAGGAUCGCCUAACUCCGUGCCAGCCGCCGCAGUAA
rnacentral:rRNA from 1 species